rnacentral:lncRNA from 1 species
CUUUAGCUCUGGCUCUCAGAAGCUUGAGGUAGGAGGGGAGUGUGGACAUUUAGGGAAGAGGAAGAGCUUGUACUCCCAAGGCCUGGGGCCGAGAGGGGCCCUCAGGUUGCCCACUCUCACCUCUACCUGCAGACUCCCAGUCAAUGUUUGAGUUUCCCAGAUGGAGGAGGUGAGGCUUUGCAGUCCUGGGUCUGGCCAGUUCAUGCCCCUGGCCACCCACCCUCAGUGGCCUCCAAGUACACUGGGCACUAGGGCGGGACAGCAGGGCCGCAGGGUCACUGCUGCAGCUCAGAGACCGGGGCUGGGCGGUGGCAGGUGGUCCUCCUACACCAAUCCCAGGCUCUCCUCCUCUGCCAGGUUCAGUCCCUCAGACCUCCCUUGUGGGGCCCCAGAAAAUAAACUGCUCUUGGAGCCAAGGAUGAGGCCUCACCAGAGAGAACCAGCCCAGAGGCAGCCGCACAGCCUUCCUGGCCAGCACUUUGUCUGGCUGACCCCCUUUCAGGUAGGCCUGGCUGCAGAGCAGGAAGCCAGACGUUGCACAGCAGCCCCAGGAGGUGGGGAGAUAGGGCACCUCCCCAGGGAGGGGAAUUGA